UGAAACGUCUAACAGCAAUGAUUUCUGA
rnacentral:sRNA from 1 species